AGCAAUUACCUCAAUAAAAAAAAAAUGAAGAAAGUUCCUGUUUGGAGCUUCCCUCUCUUUUACUCACAAAAAUAAAACCCCAAUUUACUAUCUCGGAUCUCAAUUUUUUUUGUAAUUAGGGUUUUCUAACCACUCUCGAUUGCUUUAAAUCCCUUCCCUCCAUUUAAAGGACACAUGGCUGGUGCCAAUAGUAGCAAUGAGCCUGAAUGGAUACAGAGAGUGAGAUCAGAGGGAGCGGUUCCACUACUGGAACCAGAUAACUGUCCAAAUGGUUGGGCAUGCCCACCUGGUGACAGCUUCAUGGUAAGGGGUCCAGAGUACUUGUCAACCAAGGUUAAAAUUCCUGGUGGUAAAUAUCUGCUAAAGUCUCUCGGCUUUGACUGGAUUAAAGCUUCCACAAAGCUAGGGGACAUCUUGAGCCAUCAUAAUAGUCGUGUUAGGAAGGUUGUUGAUGAUGCCUUUCCAACGGGUGAUAAGCCUUUCAUUUGGGCAUUUAAUCUUCAGGUCCCAACUAAGGAUAACUAUAGUGCUGUAGCUUAUUUUGUAGCGACAGAGCCUAUGCCAGAUGGUUCUUUGAUUGACCAGUUCCUGAAAGGUGAUGAUGUGUUUAGAAAUACGAGGCUUAAAUUGAUUGCAAACAUUGUCAAAGGCCCAUGGAUUGUUAGAAAAGCAGUUGGAGAGCAAGCAAUAUGCAUCAUUGGACGUGCCCUUUCUUGCAAGUAUUGUAUAUCUGAAAAUUUUUUUGAAGUUGAUAUUGAUAUUGGAUCUUCCAUGGUUGCAAGUGCAAUUGUUCAUCUGGCAUUUGGUUACAUCACAACUCUGACAGUUGACCUGGCUUUUCUUAUUGAGAGUCAAACUGAAUCUGAGCUUCCUGAGCAACUCUUAGGAGCUGUACGGUUCUCCGAACUGAACCCUGAUUCAGCUCAGCUGAUCGAACCAUCUUCAGGUGGGAGCAGUGGGAAUUUGCAGGCAUCACUGCCAACUCGUUUAUGGAAGUCACUUGGACAGGGAUUUUCUCAUCUUCUUCAUCCAGGAGCACAAGAAAGUGAUUCAGUCUCUACUUCAACCCAUGUUAAUGGCACUGCCGGUCAUGAUGAAAGUGAUGGAGAUGUUAAGAAAUGGUAAGCUUUCAUAUCUUGCUCACAGUUAAAGAUUUCCGAAGUUGAAUGAGAUGAAGAUUUGAAUAUUUUGUUAUGUCUGGUUCUACUUGAAACCGAGCUUGUGGAACACAUUUUAAAAGAACAUCAAGGUUUGUUGGUAAUAUUCAAGGGUCCGGAUAUCAACUUUCAUUUUUCCAGUUAAUUGCACACAACUUGCUUGAGGUUAUCACCAUUGGCUUCUUGAUGUUUACGACACCAUUUCCUCAAUCAACAAUAUCAAAGCCAUAUUAGAAUUUUCAAAUAAUCUGCUUGUUAGACUAACAAGUUUAGUGAUGUUUUCAAUUAAUCAUCCUUCUGAAACUUUCCAAAAGAUAUACGGAUUAAAGUAGCCAUUCAUUUGAUUUUCUAUGCUUUAUUUUUUUCAGUUAGUCAAAUAUGGUUUCUGCUCUGUGAAGAAACUUGGUGGUUUGUACUAAAUAACUGUUGAUCAGUCUAGUUUAUGUGCCUUCCCAUAUUUCAUGCCUCCAAAUGAUUUUAUCCAUCUCUUAGGCUUUGCUUGGUAGGAAUGAUGGAAAAUAUGUUAAUCUAAUGGUUAAGCUACAAAGUAGGAAAGUGAUUAUGAAUUUUAACAAUUUGAUUAACAAGUUUUUCAUCUUCACUCAUUUCCAUCCUGCCUCCCAGGCAAAGCCUUAUACUCGUUGGUUUAAGAAUAAAUAAACAUGUUACAGUACAAUAAUUGUUCUUAAAACUGCACAUAUUCCAUGUUUAGAGUAUUAUAUAACUCAA